rnacentral:rRNA from 1 species
UACGAAGGGGGCUAGCGUUGCUCGGAAUCACUGGGCGUAAAGCGCACGUAGGCGGCUUUCUAAGUCAGGGGUGAAAUCCUUGGAGCUCAACUCCAGAACUGCCUUUGAUACUGGAGCUUGAGUCCGGAAGAGGUGAGUGGAACUCCGAGUGUAGAGGUGAAAUUCGAUUAGAUAUUCGGAAGGAAACACCACGUGGCGGAAGGA